AACGGCCGUACCAUGCUGAAUAUAUCGGUUCUCGUUAGAUCACCGAAGUCAAGCAUCAUUGGGCGCGGUCAGUACUUGGGUGGGUGACCACCUGGGAACACUGCGUGCCGUU
rnacentral:rRNA from 1 species